UACAGAGGGUGCGAGCGUUAAUCGGAAUUACUGGGCGUAAAGCGCGCGUAGGCGGCUUUGUAAGUUAGAGGUGAAAGCCCAGGGCUCAACCCUGGAAUUGCCUUUAAGACUGCAUCGCUUGAACAUCGGAGAGGUAAGUGGAAUUCCGAGUGUAGAGGUGAAAUUCGUAGAUAUUCGGAAGAACACCAGUGGCGAAGGCGACUUACUGGACGAUUGUUGACGCUGAGGUGCGAAAGCGUGGGGAGCAAACAGG
rnacentral:rRNA from 1 species